rnacentral:rRNA from 1 species
UACGGAGGGGGCUAGCGUUGUUCGGAAUUACUGGGCGUAAAGCGUACGUAGGCGGCUUUGUAAGUUAGAGGUGAAAGCCCGGAGCUCAACUCCGGAAUUGCCUUUAAGACUGCAUCGCUUGAAUCAUGGAGAGGUUAGUGGAAUUCCGAGUGUAGAGGUGAAAUUCGUAGAUAUUCGGAAGAACACCAGUGGCGAAGGCGACUAACUGGACAUGUAUCGACGCUGAGGUACGAAAGCGUGGGGAGCAAACAGG